rnacentral:rRNA from 1 species
UGGGGAAUAUUGCACAAUGGGCGCAAGCCUGAUGCAGCCAUGCCGCGUGUGUGAAGAAGGCCUUCGGGUUGUAAAGCACUUUCAGCGAGGAGGAAGGUGGUGAGCUUAAUACGCUCAUCAAUUGACGUUACUCGCAGAAGAAGCACCGGCUAACUCCGUGCCAGCAGCCGCGGUAAUACGGAGGGUGCAAGCGUUAAUCGGAAUUACUGGGCGUAAAGCGCACGCAGGCGGUUUGUUAAGUCAGAUGUGAAAUCCCCCGGGCUCAACCUGGGAACUGCAUUUGAAACUGGCAAGUAGAGUCUCGUAGAGGGGGGUAGAAUUCCAGGUGUAGCGGUGAAAUGCGUAGAGAUCUGGAGGAAUACCGGUGGCGAAGGCGGCCCCCCUGGACGAAGACUGACGCUCAGGUGCGAAAGCGUGGGCAGCAAACAGGAUUAGAUACCCUGGUGUCCACGCUGUAAAACGAUGUCGAUUUUGGAGGUUGUG